rnacentral:rRNA from 1 species
AACGAACGCUGGCGGCAGGCUUAACACAUGCAAGUCGAACGCCCCGCAAGGGGAGUGGCAGACGGGUGAGUAACGCGUGGGAAUCUACCUAGUUCUACGGAACAACACAGGGAAACUUGUGCUAAUACCGUAUACGCCCUACGGGGGAAAGAUUUAUCGGAAUUAGAUGAGCCCGCGUAAGAUUAGCUAGUUGGUGGGGUAAUGGCCUACCAAGGCGACGAUCUUUAGCUGGUCUGAGAGGAUGAUCAGCCACACUGGGACUGAGACACGGCCCAGACUCCUACGGGAGGCAGCAGUGGGGAAUAUUGGACAAUGGGCGAAAGCCUGAUCCAGCCAUGCCGCGUGAGUGAUGAAGGCCUUAGGGUUGUAAAGCUCUUUCAGUAGGGAAGAUAAUGACGGUACCUACAGAAGAAGCCCCGGCUAACUUCGUGCCAGCCGCCGCCGUAA